ACGCUUCUCGGUUUGUCGACCUAAAGCUUGAAUGAUUCGAUGAAUGAUGGUAGAGAUGAAAGAUGGAGGUUUUGUUGAAUGAAUCCACACUCAACGUGCUUGAUUGAAUCCACAAUCAAACCACAAACAAAUCAACUUGAAUCCACAAGCUAAUUGAUCCGCACACACAAGACUUUAGUGAAUCCACACUAACUUCUAAUGCAUAAAACUCAAAGACACUCUUUAAAGAAAAUACUUGUUUAUUUCGUAAAAGGCUUGAAUACAAAUGAAAACUAAGGUGAGCUUAUAUAGAGGCUCAA